UCCAUGCCUGGACGGGACCAUUCCCACAC
rnacentral:piRNA from 1 species